rnacentral:misc_RNA from 1 species
UCCAAUAUAUUCCUUCCUCUGAAAUUUCUAUAGAGAAAGAAGCCAUACCCAUCAAAACGUUAAUUGAAAUCACAGAAGAUUUAGAUAAUUAUCAGAAAAGGGUAAAAAAAGGAAAAAUAAAUUAAGCAGUCCAAUCACAACCACAAAGCUCCAGCAUCUUUCAAAAUAGGCACCAACUCACCAGAGAUAUGAGUAGCCAUGACUCUCUCGAGUCCACCAAACAACUUCCCACCCACAAAAACCACCGGAAACUGCACUUCGCCGCCGAUUUUACCACCGUUAAUAUUCGAUAACUCAUUGAUCACAGCCGCUUCUUCCUUCUCAUCCACCUCGAACACGGUGGGGUUCACACCAAGCCCUAGCAGCAGCCUCUUCACGACAUGGCACAUGCAACACCCACGUUUCCCAAACACUAUAACCGAAUUCUCCAACACCAAUUUCUGGACAUAAUUUUCUCUAUUGGCUGGUACUAGUACAUUUCCACCAAUAGUGGUGGCACUACCAAUCGGAGGGAAUUUCCGGUUGCCGCCGGAGGUGGCGGUGGCCGGUAUGUAUGUUCUGAAUGGGAUAGCUUCUUGCAUGAGAUCGAUCGAAAAGUUUUUUGUUAUUAAAAUGAAGAGUGAAUGUUUUAGGGAUGAGUGGGGG